CUGUGUUGGUAGGGACAUCUGAGAGUAAUGAUGAAUGCCAACCGCUCUGAUGGUGGCACAUGCCGAGUCACCCGAGUAAGCUAUUGUUAAGGGCCGUGACCCGAGCCUCCAUCAGCCGUCCGCUCUCAUGAAAGGCUGUCGGUGGUAGUCCACGUGCUUAAGUGCCUGCAUUCCGCAGUGUCACCAAUAUUUCCAUUAGUGUUUCUUUUUUCUUUUUUGAGACCGAGCCUCGUUCUGUCACCCAGGCUGGAAUGCAGUGGCUCGACAUCGGUUAAUGGCAACCUCCGCGUCCCGAGUUAAGCAGUUCUGCCUCAGCCUCCCAAGUAACUGGGACUACAGGCGCGCGCCACCAUGCUAGGCUUUUAUAUUUUUAGUAGAGACGGGGUUUCACCAUGUUGGCGAGACUGGUCUUGAACUCCUGACCUCAGGUGAUCCACCAGCCGUGGUCCCCCAACAUACUGGGAUUACAAGCCGUGAGCCACCGCGCCCGGCCGCCAUCGGUGGUUCUUAACUGCGGGUGCAGUGCUUCUUUGUAACAUUAAGUGUAUCCUUUACCUGUCGCUAGAUAAUGAAUGGUAUGGUGCUGGGUGCAGAUGCAGUGUGGCUCUGGAUAGCACCUUAUGGACAGUUGUGUCCCCAAGGAAGGAUGAGAAUAGCUACUGAAGUCCUAAAGAGCAAGCCUAACUCAAGCCAUUGGCACACAGGCAUUAGACAGAAAGCUGGAAGUUGAAAUGGUGGAGUCCAACUUGCCUGGACCAGCUUAAUGGUUCUGCUCCUGGUAACGUUUUUAUCCAUGGAUGACUUGCUUGGGUAUGGAGAGUCGGCUUGACUACACUGUGUGGAGCAAGUUUUAAAGAAGCAAAGGACUCAGAAUUCAUGAUUGAAGAAAUGCAGGCAGACCUGUUAUCCUAAACUAGGGUUUUUAAUGACCACAACAAGCAAGCAUGCAGCUUACUGCUUGAAAGGGUCUUGCCUCACCCAAGCUAGAGUGCAGUGGCCUUUGAAGC
rnacentral:lncRNA from 1 species